rnacentral:lncRNA from 1 species
GGUUGAGUAGUUUUAGAGGAGAAGAUUUUUUAAAGUUGGCAAAUAUGAUGAACAAAUUGUGAAAAAUUGUCAUUAAAGGACAAUAACCCCUUAAGGGGUCAAUUGACAAUUUUGGUCAUUUUAACUUAUUUGUAGAUCUUACUUUGCUGAUCAUUUUUGCUGUUUACAGUUUAUCUUUAUCUAUAAUAAUAUUCAAGAUAAUGACCAAAAACUGCAAAAUUUCCUUAAAAUUACCAAUUAAGUGGCAGCAACCCAACAAUGGGUUGUUUGAUUCAUCUGAAAAUUUCAAGGCUGAGAGAUCUUGACCUAAUGAACAUUUUUACCCCAUGUCAGAUGUGCUCUAAAUGCUUUCGUUUUUGAGAUAUAAGCCAAAAACUGCAUUUU